GAUGAACGCUGGCGGCGUGCCUAAUACAUGCAAGUCGAGCGAACAGAUGAGGUGCUUGCUCCUCUGACGUUAGCGGCGGACGGGUGAGUAACACGUGGAUAACCUACCUAUAAGACUGGGAUAACUUCGGGAAACCGGAGCUAAUACCGGAUCAUAUAUUGAACCGCAUGGUUCAAUAGUGAAAGACGGUUUUGCUGUCACUUAUAGAUGGAUCCGCGCCGCAUUAGCGAGUUGGUAAGGUAACGGCUUACCAAGGCAACGAUGCGUAGCCGACCUGAGAGGGUGAUCGGCCACACUGGAACUGAGACACGGUCCAGACUCCUACGGGAGGCAGCAGUAGGGAAUCUUCCGCAAUGGGCGAAAGCCUGACGGAGCAACGCCGCGUGAGUGAUGAAGGUCUUCGGAUCGUAAAACUCUGUUAUUAGGGAAGAACAAAUGUGUAAGUAACGAUGCACGUCUUGACGGUACCUAAUCAGAAAGCCACGGCUAACUACGUG
rnacentral:rRNA from 1 species